AGGACGAACGCUGGCGGCGUGCUUAACGCAUGCAAGUCGAGCGGUAAGGCCUUUCGGGGUACACGAGCGGCGAACGGGUGAGUAACACGUGGGUGAUCUGCCCUGCACUUCGGGAUAAGCCUGGGAAACUGGGUCUAAUACCGGAUAUGACCUCAGGUUGCAUGACUUGGGGGUGGAAAGAUUUAUCGGUGCAGGAGUCGGGCCCGCGGCCUAUCAGUCUUGGUUGGGUGGGUAAUGGCCUACCAAGGCGACGGACGGGUAGCCGACCUGAGAGGGUGACCGGCCACACGUGGGACUGGAGACACGGCCCAGACCUCCGUACGGGAGGCAGCAGGUGGGAAUAUUG
rnacentral:rRNA from 1 species